UUGACCUCGAAUCAGGUAGGAAUACCCGCUGAACUUAAGCAUAUCAAU
rnacentral:rRNA from 11 species